AGGAGGCGGCCCGCUCCCGCCCAGGGCCGCCGGGGGGUCUGGGAGCUUCGCCGCACCCCCCUACACCACCUCUGGCGGGUAUGGGAGUGCGGGUAGCGAUAAGUGAGCGGCGUCAGGGGAUGCGCGUUUUCUUACGUCUUGGGUUGCCGGUUAACGGAGUAUUUCUCCUGCUGUUUCACAUCCUAGACUUGGUAUGAGCAAGCACAGAUGUGUCUUUUGUGCAAGAGAGGGAAGGAAGAGAGAGCCAAAUGAAAAAUCCUGAAUGACAACAUCUCCAAGUAUCACAGCAGUACCUUCUAAAGCUGGAAGAUAAAGCUGAUGAGGUGGUUACCAUGGCUACAGAAGCGGCAUAUUUGAAUGAAAAUUGAUUUUAAGCUUUUAAAUGCUAAUUGCAUCUGUGAACAGGUGACAUUUGAAAUAUAUUUUUCUUCUCCCCCUCCCCCACACACCCCCUCAUAUUUUGCAGAGUAUAAUGAGUGAAAGAAGAGGGUGACAAAGGUGACAACACAGAGUUAAAUUAAAACACUGAUACAGUCUUUGACACUUAAGUAUGUCACGCCAUUUGCUUGUGCAGCAAUAAAAGUAAUAAGCAAACACAUAUAUAGAUCACAGUGUCUGAGGAGCAGAAACUGUAUCUAUAACCCAAGUAAUAUAUUUUUCAUGAUAUUGUAAAAAAUUAAACAGCCUUAUUCCAAUUAAUCACUAGGGCAAUUGUUUUUGGUAGCUCAUAAUAAAGAGGCUGUUAAAACUUAGCAUUCAGAAACUACUAUAAAUUCUCAGUGAUGAGGAAAUUUUGCAGAUGCCUGAAAUUAGAAGCAUUUCUUAUUUCACUUUGUACAUAAGGAAAUAAAGUUGAAUUUCUACAGUGGUAGACUCAGACUACAGAACAAAGAUGCUGUGUAGACCAGUGUCACUGAGCAACUGCUGCUAAUUGCUGUCACACUACUGUCUGACCACACUUAGGCUUCAGCUGUAGAAGACAUAGAAAGUGUAAUUUACCUAACUGUAAGCAUAGUUUUAAUAUGAUCUCUAAGCUUUUUAACUUGCUGUGGGUUACAUUCCACUUGUUAAUGCCUGCUUUUUGAAGCUUCUCUUGAUAUGAUUUCUAUGUAAGAUGUGAUCAGUUGUAAUGCAAAUAUAUAUUUUGUUACCAAAUAUAUAUUUAUAUAUGUAUUGUAAAUCUUUGAGGGUUUUCAGAUUACUUUAGGUUUGUUUUGUGUUUGUUUGUUUGUUUUUCCACUUUUUAAAUAUACAACAUGAGAAAUGUAGUGGUUGAGUCUGUAUUCUGCUUAGUUACAAUGGACACCGUAACAGCCUUCAUUAAGGAGGCUAAAUUUUUGUUUCAGAGUUACUGCUAAUGAACACUAUGAAAGAAAUUUAGAAAUACCAUUAAAGGACAAAGUCUUUUAUUUUUUCUGCCAUAUUUACAGAAUACUAAAUAAAGUGUUUUUCUUAUGUAACAUUCAAAA